AGUGAACGCUGGCGGUAGGCCUAACACAUGCAAGUCGAACGGCAGCACAGUAAGGGCUUGCUCUUACGGGUGGCGAGUGGCGGACGGGUGAGGAAUACAUCGGAAUCUACUUUUUCGUGGGGGAUAACGUAGGGAAACUUACGCUAAUACCGCAUACGACCUACGGGUGAAAGCAGGGGAUCUUCGGACCUUGCGCGAUUGAAUGAGCCGAUGUCGGAUUAGCUAGUUGGCGGGGUAAAGGCCCACCAAGGCGCCGAUCCGUAGCUGGUCUGAGAGGAUGAUCAGCCACACUGGAACUGAGACACGGUCCAGACUCCUACGGGAGGCAGCAGUGGGGAAUAUUGGACAAUGGGCGCAAGCCUGAUCCAGCCAUACCGCGUGGGUGAAGAAGGCCUUCGGGUUGUAAAGCCCUUUUGUUGGGAAAGAAAAGCAGCAGGUUAAUACCCCGCUGUUCUGACGGUACCCAAAGAAUAAGCACCGGCUAACUUCGUG
rnacentral:rRNA from 1 species